AAUCAGCGGUGAGCAGACGAGCAGUCUUCCAAUCUCCUAAAAGACACCACGUGGUGGGCUUCUUUUGAAAAGCAGGAAGAAAUAAAACCAGUGGGAAGGGUUACAAGGAGACAGUUUUACACAGUAUUCCGAAGAAACUUCUAACCAUCUAGAAGAAGGCUAUUACCGUCAGAUUGACUGCCUAGAGAUGUUCCGUGCGAGGUGCUGAAAGAGGCCAGCGAGCCUGGGUGCCGCAACACCGCCCCGGUGUAGAAGCAGGCGGCGUCGGGCGGCGCGGGAGGGCGCGGGGCGGCUGCUGCCCGCGUGGGGCCCGGACCGGGACUGGGCCACUGUUCCACCGCGAAGCGCGGCGCCAGGAAGCGGCCGUCUCUCCGGAGCAGCAGGUGCUGUAAACGUGCCUUUGCAAAUCUACACUCAUUAGAGGAAAACUAAGCAUUUCACGAGUUUAAAAUGAGGCCGCGAGAAGUGCGCUUCGCUCGCUAGGGCGACCCUCUCUUCCGCACCCGCACGCUGGUUUUUAUUUGCUACCCUCCGAAGCCCGCUCACCGCGCACAGCUGCACCAGCCCUGCCAACCCGUGCGUUCCGGUACUCUGCUGGGGAAGUUGCAAAGCCAGUCGAAACUCACGGAAGAACUUACCUGAGACGAUCCCAUUCGACAGGACCCCCAGCUGGUAAAGGAGGCAGCAGCAGAUGAGUUUCCGGAGCCCCACAGGACAGCCCCCACAGUCAACGGCAGUGUUGCCUCGGGACUGGUGGAGGACUGCCCUGUGCGGGCAGGAGCGCCGCGGUGUCCGAGCCGAGGCUCGCCGCCUGCACCCGCGCGGAACAGGCAGAGGCUGGUGCCACGGUCCCGGCUGCCUCGCGUGCCAAGCUCGCACCCUCCUCUACCGGAGUGCUCCAGGCUCCUACCCGCAGCAGCGUGGGAGACAAUUUGUAAGGGGUUGAGGGGAAGACAAGGCUCGUGAGGUGGGGUGUGGACAAGAAAAGAUUCCAGAGGAUCUGACAAGAAAAAGGGAGCAAGGGGUGCCCGCCAAGAGUGACUUUGCGGGACAAAGGUCCCAGAACACCGCACACGUGCUCACACGCCCGGUUAGGGUGGGGUGGAGAAUCCCAAGCCCCUCACCUGACUCCUGAUUGGCCACUCCUGAAGGCCGGAUUUGCAUCCUUUGGUAGGGGGCACCCCCCCUCCUCCCCACUGAGGUGUGUGCAGGUAGAAGGGCCUUCCUCUCCCUACCUCACCCCCUUACUCGGGCCCCUCCUUCAGGGGAGUUCUCCCCCCAUCUACACACCACACAGAGCCAAACAGUGCAGAUUUGAGCACAAAGCAACAGCCAUUUACCAAAGACCUUUGAUUUUCCUUCCCAUCUUUGUCUCCAGGAAUUUUCUAAGCCUGGAGAUAAUGUAAUUCGUCAUGGAGGGUGCUUCAGAGGUUCCCAGGACAGUAGACACCCUGACAUUUCAGAGCCCCUUAUCCCACCUUAUCUUUCCCGCCCCCAUUCAUCAGUGCUAUCAAUUUCAACCCCCCCCCCGCCGCCCCGCCUUUCUCUAAAGCACCCCCCCACAAAAAUGAUAAAUCACACACACACACACACACCCCUAAUGAGGGUGAGAUUAAGCAGAGCGGCAUUAAAUAUUGUAUUCUGAAGAUCUCAGGUCAAAUGAGAUUAUUGUGGCUUUUUAACUGUUUUUUUUUUUUUUUUUUUUUUGCAACUUAAAAAAUAGGUUUUUCCUAUUUUCGUCUUCUGGGGGAAAUUCGACCAUAAAUAUUCUUGCUUCCUCUGUUACAGCUCUUCACAAUACCUACUCCCCUUUCCACACUUCUUUCUCAGCCACAUCCAACCUUUCACAUCAGACUCAGGGGUCUUUGAUCUCACCUGCCGUUUCCAUCCUCUGGACUAGUCUGGACACCUAGAAAUAAGAGUUGAUGUAAAUCAGUUUUAAAAAAUUCCAGCACUGAAGUUGGGUCACUGCAUCCUUUGUUGUUUUACCUUCUGUCCCUCGUGUCAAAGGUGAAUGCUAUGCCUUUAAGGGAGGCAGAUGAUCUAAUUUCAAAGGAAAGCUAUUGUUUGAAUAAGCUGAGUCCUAGAAUACUUAGAGUGGUCCAGAGUUUAAAAACAAAGACACUCUAGGUGUGUCUGUCUCCAAACCUUGUCUUGUAAAAAUCUAUAAAACUGGAGUAACUAGGGUGGGUGUGGGUUUCCAGACAGUCAAGAAAUAUCUGUGUUACUUAGGAGCCUACACCCUCCUUUUUAUGAGACUCAAUUAUACCGAGUGAAAACUAGACAAGAAAUCAGAGGCAGUUUAUUUUUAAGAAAUAAAGCAAAUUUUUAAGA